UAGGGAAUCUUCCGCAAUGGACGAAAGUCUGACGGAGCAACGCCGCGUGAGUGAAGAAGGAUUUCGGUUCGUAAAACUCUGUUGUUAGGGAAGAAAAAAUGUAUAGUAACUAUAUACAAAAGAGACGGUACCUAACCAGAAAGCCACGGCUAACUACGUGCCAGCAGCCGCGGUAAUACGUAGGUGGCAAGCGUUGUCCGGAAUUAUUGGGCGUAAAGCGCGCGCAGGUGGUUUAGAAAGUCUGAUGUGAAAGCCCACGGCUCAACCGUGGAGGGUCAUUGGAAACUAAUAAACUUGAGUGCAGGAGAGAAAAGUGGAAUUCCUAGUGUAGCGGUGAAAUGCGUAGAGAUUAGGAGGAACACCGGUGGCGAAAGCGGCUUUUUGGCCUGCAACUGACACUGAGGCGCGAAAGCGUGGGGAGCAAACAGG
rnacentral:rRNA from 3 species